rnacentral:rRNA from 1 species
AUAGCGUAUACUAAAGUUGUUGCAGUUAAAAAGCUCGUAGUUGGAUUUCUGAUCGUGGCAACCGGUCCGCCUCUUCAUGGGGUGUGUACCAGGUCUCUGCGGUCAUCCUCGGGGUGCUCGUAUCUGGCAUUAAGUUGUCGGGUACGCUAUCCUCGUCAUUUACUGUGAGCAAAAUAGAGUGUUCAAAGCAGGCUUAGGCCUUUGAAUAUCUUAGCAUGGAAUAAUAAGAUAGGACCUUGGUCUAUUUUGUUGGUUUGUAUUCCAAGGUAAUGAUUAAUAGGGAUAGUUGGGGGUAUUCGUAUUCAAUUGUCAGAGGUGAAAUUCUUGGAUUUAUGGAAGACGAACUACUGCGAAAGCAUUUACCAAAUA